AAAUAUUGCACAGAUCAUUUCUCCUGGGCCUUGGCAUGAAUACUGUGUCAACGAUAUGGGCCUUCCACGACAACAUUUAAGCAACAACUGUGGCAUUUUUGUCCUUAUGUAUUCCCUGAGCUUUGCAACCGCAGGGAGCUUUGAUUUUACAGAGACAGACAUGCCUGGUAUUAGGAGAUAGUGGUGUUUGCUUCUUUUGGAGAAUUUCACCUUGAGGUCUGAAGAAGAAAGACGGGCAACUAAGAGACUCAAGAGGCAAACUGAAAAUAAUGCACAAAAGGCAAUCAUGACUCCUGAGUUGCAACUUUUGGAUUUACUCAUGGAGAUCUUGGAGAUCAUACUCUUGGAAGUAGUGCUACAGGAUGGAGAUGCUGCCUACAUGAAUAUUUCACUUACUUGCAGUUGCUUUAGUGCAAUUGUGAACAGGACCCAGUUCAGACAGAAGGCACACUAUGCAUGGCUUGACAGUGUAGUGAACUGGGAAAAUUGGAGUGAAGCAUCAAGGGCUGAAUUACGGGUGCCUUUUGAAAUUAAAGAAUGCAAAAUAUGCAAAACGUUAUUCAAGACCUGCUUCGGUUAUUGCGGCAAUGGGAAACGUGGUUGCCUCAGAGGGUUUUAUGAUGGCACUGAGGACCCAGACUGCUGUUUCAUGUGCCAUUAUUAAAUGGGGAGGGAGAAGUAAUGCUUUGCUGAAAUCAUCUUCAAUAAAUAAAA